CCUACGGGAGGCAGCAGUGAGGAAUAUUGGUCAAUGGGCGCGAGCCUGAACCAGCCAAGUCGCGUGAGGGAAGACGGCCCUACGGGUUGUAAACCUCUUUUGCCGGGGAGCAACGGGCGCCACGUGUGGCGCCACUGAGAGUACCCGGAGAAAAAGCAUCGGCUAACUCCGUGCCAGCAGCCGCGGUAAUACGGAGGAUGCGAGCGUUAUCCGGAUUUAUUGGGUUUUAAGGGUGCGUAGGCGGGGCGUUAAGUCAGUGGUAAAAUUGAGGGGCUCAACCCCUUCCCGCCAUUGAAACUGGCACGCUUGAGUGGAAGAGAGGUAUGCGGAAUGCGUGGUGUAGCGGUGAAAUGCAUAGAUAUCACGCAGAACCCCGAUUGCGAAGGCAGCAUGCCGGCUUCCUACUGACGCUGAAGCACGAAAGCGUGGGGAUCGAACAGGAUUAGAUACCCUUGUAGUC
rnacentral:rRNA from 1 species